rnacentral:rRNA from 1 species
UACGUAGGGUGCAAGCGUUAAUCGGAAUUACUGGGCGUAAAGCGUGCGCAGGCGGUUCGCUAAGACCGAUGUGAAAUCCCCGGGCUUAACCUGGGAACUGCAUUGAUGACUGCAUUGCUGGAGUAUGGCAGAGGGGGGUGGAAUUCCACGUGUAGCAGUGAAAUGCGUAGAGAUGUGGAGGAACACCGAUGGCGAAGGCAGCCCCCUGGGCCAAUACUGACGCUCAUGCACGAAAGCGUGGGGAGCAAACAGG